AGCGUAGACGGAAUGGCAAGUCUGAUGUGAAAGGCCGGGGCUCAACCCCGGGACUGCAUUGGAAACUGUCAAUCUAGAGUACCGGAGAGGUAAGCGGAAUUCCUAGUGUAGCGGUGAAAUGCGUAGAUAUUAGGAGGAACACCAGUGGCGAAGGCGGCUUACUGGACGGUAACUGACGUUGAGGCUCGAAAGCGUGGGGAGGCAAAACA
rnacentral:rRNA from 1 species